rnacentral:rRNA from 2 species
CUACAAUGGCGCAUACAAAGAGAAGCGACCUCGCGAGAGCAAGCGGACCUCAUAAAGUGCGUCGUAGUCCGGAUUGGAGUCUGCAACUCGACUCCAUGAAGUCGGAAUCGCUAGUAAUCGUGGAUCAGAAUGCCACGGUGAAUACGUUCCCGGGCCUUGUACACACCGCCCGUCACACCAUGGGAGUGGGUUGCAAAAGAAGUAGGUAGCUUAACCUUCGGGAGGGCGCUUACCACUUUGUGAUUCAUGACUGGGGUGAAGUCGUAACAAGGUAACCGUAGGGGAACCUGC